AUGCGUCAGCUUCGGCUCAUCACCAACAUGAGGGCUCAUAAUGACACGUGGUUUGCCAAUUACUUGCUAAGGGUCGGCAAUGGCACUGAGGAAGUUGAUGAUCAAGGCAACAUAGUACUCCUUGAAGAUAUUUGUCUACCGUCUACAGGCGAGGUUGACGAUCUGGAGAAGCUUAUUGAGCACGUAUUUCCGAGUCUAGACGACAACAUGGCUGAUUCGAAUUACAUGACAUCUCGAGCAAUCCUUUCCACAACUAACGGCAAUGUAGACAAAAUAAACAUCCGCAUGAUAGAG
rnacentral:rRNA from 1 species